rnacentral:lncRNA from 1 species
GAUUAGGAGAGUGGUUUGAAGUGAUGCUGGAGAAGAGAAUAAGAAACAGUUGAUGAAGAUUUGUGUGUAGCAAAUGAAGAAGUGUGAGAAAAUCCCCAGAACUGUGAGAAGCUACUGGAAUAAUAUAAGGAUGGAUCUAAUCUGGUUGAAUUCUGACUGCCACAUUACUGGGGAUUGAACUCAAGGCCUCCUGUAUGCUAGCUAGUCUCUACUUCUCAAGUACACCCCCAGCCCUCAUUACAUUCUUAAAAAUGUUCAUAGCAUCUUGCAAGAGGAGUCUUUUUACCACUUGGGACCUCAGUCAAGAAAUGUACUUAUUAUGUCAGGGUCUCCAGCCGUGGGGAACAUGCUGAUCCACUGGACCCCUGCCACGACCACCACCUCUGGCCUCUUGGCUGUACUGCCCCCUGGUUCCACACUACAAAGACACAGAGGACAUUGGACCAGCAGACCACUGUACUGGAAAAUUAUUCUACUUUAGGAAUUUGUCAUCACAUAGAAGAAGCCACCCACAAUGCUGCAGCUCUAUGGAAAGAGAAUUAGGAAUACCAGUAUCUUUGGGUCCAAAUCACACUAAUUUCACCAUGUUUUCUAAAAAAUGUAAUGCAUUGUUCUCCACCAUUAGCUCCUAUGUCUAAUCCUAAUAGAUGCUAAAUUCAAGAAAAAAAAGAAACACCAAAUCAGCCUGCUGCAGACAGGCAGUUCUGUGCAUGCCCUAC